AGAGCUCUCUUUGGGCAUUCCAAAAAGGUAUCACAUGCCAAGUUUGGCCUCACGGUCUAAAAGUUAUAGAGUAAUACAUUUUUACCAAAAAAAAAAGAGAAAACCCGAAAAAAAGAGGGAUGCAACACGAGGACUUUCCUGGAGGUCACCCAUCCUAGUACUACUCUCCCCCAAGCACGCUUAACUGUGGUGUUCUGAUAGGAUCAAGUGCAUUAGUGCUGGUAUGAUCGCAUCAGUUACUACAUGUAAUGCAAUCAUAUAUAUUCUUUUUUGAAGACUUUAUGAUCCAUUUGCCGUAGGUCCCACCAGCUAUGUAGGAAUACCCUAUCUUGUUUAUAAGAGCUUUGAUACAUGCAAAAUAUUCGAAAACAAUGUCCGAACAUAUAAUUUUUGUCCCGUAAUAUAGCAAAGAUCACGAAAAGGCCAGGAAAAAUACAUUUCGGUCAAAAUUUGGAGUAGAAAAAAAACCCUUCCUCAUUCAUUGGACAGCUCUCUUUGGGCUUUCCGAAAAGGUAUCACAUGCCAAGUUUGGCCUCACGGUCUAAACCUUAUAGACUCAUACAUUUUUCACGAAAAAAAGAAGAGAAAAACCAAAAAAAAGAGUGAUUAAACACGAGGACUUUCCUGGAGGUCACCCAUCCUAGUACUACUCUCGCCCAAGCACGCUUAACUGCGAAGUUCUGAUGGGAUCUGGUGCAUUAGUGCUGGUAUGAUCGCAUCUGUUACUACAUGCAAUGCAAUCGUAUCUAUUCUUUUUUGAAGAUUUUAUGAUUCAUUUACCGUGGGUCCCACCAGCUAUGUAGGAAUAACCUAUCUUAUUUAUAAAAGCUUUGAUACAUGCAAAAUAUUUGAAAACAAUGUCCGAACAUAUAAUGUUCGCCCCAAAAUAUAGCAAAGACCACAAAAAUGCCAUAAAAAGUACAUUAAGGUCAAAAUUAGGAGUAGGAAAAAAAUCAAUAGGAGAAUUCCAUUUUCCUUCCUUCAUUCAUCGGAGAGCUCUCUUUGGGCAUUCCAAAAAGGUAUCACACGCCAAGUUUGGCCUCACGGUCUAAAAGUUAUAGAGUAUUACAUUUUUAACAAAAAAAAAAGAGAAAAACCGAAAAAAAGAGGGAUGCAACACGAAGACUUUUCUGGAGGUCAUCCAUCCUAGUACUACUCUCGCCCAAGCACAUUUAACUGCGGUGUUCUGAUAGGAUCAAGUGCAUUAGUGCUGGUAUGAUCGCAUCAGUUACUACAUGCAAUGCAAUCAUAUAUAUUCUUUUUUGAAGACUUUAUGAUCCAUUUGCCGUAGGUCCCACCAGCUAUGUAGGAAUACCCUAUCUUGUUUAUAAGAGCUUUGAUAGAUGCAAAAUAUUCAAAAACAAUGUCCGAACAUAUAAUUUUUGUCCCGUAAUAUAGCAAAGAUCACGAAAAGGCCAGAAAAAAUACAUUUCGGUCAAAAUUUGGAGUAGAAAAAAAACCCUUCCUCAUUCAUUGGACAGCUCUCUUUGGGCUUUCCGAAAAGGUAUCACAUGCCAAGUUUGGCCUCACGGUCUAAACCUUAUAGACUCAUACAUUUUUCACAAAAAAAAGAAGAGAAAAACCAAAAAAAAGAGUGAUUAAACACGAGGACUUUCCUGGAGGUCACCCAUCCUAGUACUACUCUCGCCCAAGCACGCUUAACUGCGAAGUUCUGAUGGGAUCUGGUGCAUUAGUGCUGGUAUGAUCGCAUCUGUUACUACAUGCAAUGCAAUCGUAUCUAUUCUUUUUUGAAGAUUUUAUGAUUCAUUUACCGUGGGUCCCACCAGCUAUGUAGGACUAACCUAUCU
rnacentral:sRNA from 1 species